rnacentral:rRNA from 1 species
CGGACGGGUGAGUAACGCGUGGAUAACCUGCCGUAUACCGGGGGAUAACACUUAGAAAUAGGUGCUAAUACCGCAUAAGCGCACGGCUCCGCAUGGGGCAGUGUGAAAAAUUCCGGUGGUAUACGAUGGAUCCGCGUCUGAUUAGCUAGUUGGCGGGGUAACGGCCCACCAAGGCAGCGAUCAGUAGCCGGCCUGAGAGGGUGGACGGCCACAUUGGGACUGAGACACGGCCCAAACUCCUACGGAAGGCAGCAG